rnacentral:tRNA from 1 species
GAAAUAUGAUUAAUCAAGAAUAAGCUUCUAACUUAAAUCUUAAGCAGUGUAACUCUGUUUAUAUUUCU